AGAGUUUGAUCAUGGCUCAGAACGAACGCUGGCGGCGUGGAUAAGACAUGCAAGUCGAACGAGAUUUUUUCCUGUAGCAAUACAGGGAAAAGUCUAGUGGCGAACGGGUGCGUAACACGUGGGCAAUCUGCCUUAAAGUGGGGGAUAGCUCGGCGAAAGCCGAAUUAAUACCGCAUGUGAUCAGGGGAGACAUCUUCCCGAAAUCAAAAGUGGCGCAAGCUACUGCUUUUUGAGGAGCCCGCGGCCUAUCAGCUAGUUGGUGAGAUAACGGCUCACCAAGGCUUUGACGGGUAGCUGGUCUGAGAGGACGACCAGUCACACUGGAACUGAGACACGGUCCAGACACCUACGGGUGGCAGCAGUCGAGAAUUUUUCUCAAUGGGGGAAACCCUGAAGGAGCGACGCCGCGUGGAGGAUGAAGGUCUUCGGGUUGUAAACUCCUGUCAUUUGGGAACAAGUGCCGGUAUGUAACUGCUACCGGCUUGAUAGUACCAGAAGAGGAAGGGACGGCUAACUCUGUGCCAGCAGCCGCGGUAAUACAGAGGUCUCAAGCGUUGUUCGGAUUCAUUGGGCGUAAAGGGUGUGUAGGUGGCGCCGUAAGUCGGGUGUGAAAUUUCGGAGCUUAACUCCGAAACUGCAUUCGAUACUGCGGUGCUUGAGGACUGGAGAGGAGACUGGAAUUCAUGGUGUAGCAGUGAAAUGCGUAGAGAUCAUGAGGAAGACCAGUGGCGAAGGCGGGUCUCUGGACAGUUCCUGACACUGAGACACGAAGGCCAGGGGAGCAAACGGGAUUAGAUACCCCAGUAGUCC
rnacentral:rRNA from 1 species